UGGGGACCUUGGUGCUCUGCCAAGGGUCCCUUUUAGUGGCUUCUGAGAAAUCUCAGAAGGGGUUUUGUGUUGUAGAUGAAGAAUUACAGAUCUGGCUAAAACUCCUACUUAGCUGAGGGCUUGAAAAACAGAAAGAUACAGUGAUUUUCCCAAAGCUGCACAGCAGAUAGAGCUGAGAAUCUGCCAGUUUUCUAGUGUUCCUAGUGCUUUGUGUAUCACAUGAUCGUAUCACAUUACUGACACUGGCGCUUGCUGAGGAUCAGCUGGGGAGAGAUAACGCUGGUGUCUGUAAGCCACAAAGCACUCACACCUCUUGGCUGGUGAUCCACUGGCCAAAGUUGGAAUUCACUUGCCAACACCAGGGCAUACGCAAGAGGAACUGGCCACUGCUGACCAGUGAACCUGCCACCGAAUCUUGAUGAAAGGUUCCCACUACAUUUGCAGAACAGAUGCUGAGACCAAGGGAUCAUAUUUUACUGUAAUGGAAGCCGUCCGAAUGUAUGCCUCACCCAUCUGUCUUCUCUCAAGAACAUUCUCCAGAUUCAUUCACCUUGUCCCUCUCACCAGGCAUUUUGUAAAAUAUCCUGAACCGAGACAUUUGCCCUGGACAAUGAUUGCAAAGCUCACAGGAAAUCCAUUUAGUAAGUAUUUAUUGAAGUCCUGGAAAUAGAGAGAUGAGAGACAUAAUCCAUGGUCUCAAAACCCUUACAAUUCAAAGGGAGAGGCAGAGCAGCAAGCGAGUGGUAAGCUGAGUGCUGUGAUAGACACAUGCAUACAGAGGGAGAGUAUCCAGAUGAAGAGUGAAGGGAGUGUAGAGACAAUUUAAGAAGUGACGCUUUGUUUGUUUGCAAAUGUGCUUUGGUCAUGAAUCUUAAUUUGGGUUCCUUCAGACACAGUUGCUGCAGCAAAGAAUAGAGGUUUAUUUAUUUUUUUAAGAUUAUUUAUUUAUUUAUUCAUAAGAGACACAGAGAGAGAGGCAGAGACACAGGCAGAGGGAGAAGCGGGCUCUCUGCGGGGAGCCCAAUGUCAGAGUCAAUCCAGGACCCCGGGAUCACGACUUGAGCCAAAGGCGGACGCUCAGCCACUGAGCCACCCAGGAGCCCCUGAUUUGAGGUUUAUAGAGAAGCUUACUUGGAAGAUGAAGAAAGUACCAUAAGGUGACAGGGAAGGAAAGGCAGUUAUCACUAUGGGCGACCAGAGCUUAUUUCUGGGGAAACACACAUCUCAGAGGCAUCCCUGCAAGGAGCCAGGGAGCGGGGGUAUUUGUGUCCCAAUUCCUAUUGGCUAUGGUGGUGGACUGCUUCUGGAGGACAUUAAUUCCCUAACAUUCUUGCCUAUGUCAUAUGGGACAAAGUAGGCUCCAG
rnacentral:lncRNA from 1 species